UACCCAAUCCCGAUUCGGGGAGGUAGUGACAAUAAAUAACAAUACAGGGCCAACGGUCUUGUUAUUGAAAUGAGAACAAUUUAAAUAACUUAACGAGGAUCAAUUAGAGGGCAAGUCUGGUGCCAGCAGCCGCGGUAAUUCCAGCUCUAAUAGCGUAUAUUAAAGUUGUUGCAGUUAAAAAGCUCGUAGUCGGAUGUCGGGCUCGGGCAGGCUGUCGGCUUCGGUCGGACGGCAGGCUCGGGUCUUUCUGCCUGAGGAUCCCGUCACUUGAUUGUGGCGGGGGACGCAGGCCGUUUACUUUGAAAAAAUUAGAGUGUUCAAAGCAGGCCUACGCUUGAAUACAUUAGCAUGGAAUAAUGGAAUAGGACUUUGGUGCUAUUUUGUUGGUUUAUGGGACCGAAGUAAUGAUUAACAGGGACAGUUGGGGCCGUUUAUAUUUCGUUGUCAGAGGUGAAAUUCUUGGAUUUACGAAAGAUAAACUUCUGCGAAAGCAUUCGGCAAGGAUGUUUUCAUUGAUCAAGAACGAAAGUUAGGGGAUCGAAGACGAUCAGAUACCGUCGUAGUCUUAACCAUAAACUAUGCCGACUAGGGAUCAGUGGAUGUCAAUUUGCGACUCCAUUGGCACCUUGUGAGAAAUCAAAGUUUUUGGGUUCCGGGGGGAGUAUGGUCGCAAGGCUGAAACUUAAAGGAAUUGACGGAAGGGCACCACCAGGAGUGGAGCCUGCGGCUUAAUUUGACUCAACACGGGGAAACUUACCAGGUCCAGACAUAGUAAGGAUUGACAGAUUGAAAGCUCUUUCUUGAUUCUAUGGGUGGUGGUGCAUGGCCGUUCUUAGUUGGU
rnacentral:rRNA from 1 species